rnacentral:rRNA from 1 species
AUUGAACGCUGGCGGAAUGCUUUACACAUGCAAGUCGAACGGCAGCACGGGGGCAACCCUGGUGGCGAGUGGCGAACGGGUGAGUAAUACAUCGGAACGUGCCCAGUCGUGGGGAUAACGUAGCGAAAGCUACGCUAAUACCGCAUACGAACUCUGGUUGAAAGCGGGGACUCGCAAGAGCCUCGCGCGAUUGGAGCGGCCGAUGGCAGAUUAGGUAGUUGGUGGGGAAAGGCUCACCAAGCCGACGAUCUGUAGCUGGUCUGAGAGGACGACCAGCCACACUGGGACUGAGACACGGCCCAGACUCCUACGGGAGGCAGCAGUGGGGAAUUUUGGACAAUGGGCGCAAGCCUGAUCCAGCCAUUCCGCGUGCAGGAUGAAGGCCCUCGGG